rnacentral:rRNA from 1 species
GAUGAACGCUGGCGGCGUGCCUAAUACAUGCAAGUCGAGCGAAUGGAUUGAGAGCUUGCUCUCAAGAAGUUAGCGGCGGACGGGUGAGUAACACGUGGGUAACCUGCCCAUAAGACUGGGAUAACUCCGGGAAACCGGGGCUAAUACCGGAUAACAUAUUGAACCGCAUGGUUCGAAAUUGAAAGGCGGCUUCGGCUGUCACUUAUGGAUGGACCCGCGUCGCAUUAGCUAGUUGGUGAGGUAACGGCUCACCAAGGCAACGAUGCGUAGCCGACCUGAGAGGGUGAUCGGCCACACUGGGACUGAGACACGGCCCAGACUCCUACGGGAGGCAGCAGUAGGGAAUCUUCCGCAAUGGACGAAAGUCUGACGGAGCAACGCCGCGUGAGUGAUGAAGGCUUUCGGGUCGUAAAACUCUGUUGUUAGGGAAGAACAAGUGCUAGUUGAAUAAGCUGGCACCUUGACGGUACCUAACCAGAAAGCCACGGCUAACUACGUGCCAGCAGCCGCGGUAA